rnacentral:rRNA from 1 species
UACGGGGGGGGCAAGCGUUGUUCGGAAUCACUGGGCUUAAAGGGCGCGUAGGCGGUCUGCCAAGUCCGGGGUGAAAGCCCCCAGCUCAACUGGGGAAGUGCCUUGGAUACUGGUGGACUUGAGGGAGGCAGGGGUUGUGGGAACUUCCGGUGGAGCGGUGAAAUGCGUUGAUAUCGGAAGGAACGCCGGUGGCGAAAGCGCACAACUGGUCCUCUUCUGACGCUGAGGCGCGAAAGCCAGGGGAGCAAACGGG